rnacentral:lncRNA from 1 species
ACUAUUUGAAUGUGUGUUGCUCCUUGUGGCAGGUAUACUGUUCCAAUGCCCUGGGAUCUCUGUAGUGGUCGGUACUGUAUUGAUUAUAAAUGGUGAAGUCCUAGUAUCUUGCUAGAGUGAGCUGGCCAGGAUGGUGGAGCUCUACCACCAUUUCACAGGUUAUAGACAGGGGCCACCAGGUUUCAGGAAAGCAGCAAUGACCCCUCAGUAAUAGUUGGAAAGUGUGAUAUGACACUGAGCUUCACUGUGUUGGUGAAGAAGAGGUGAGGAAAAUAAAAGCUGCAGUUUGCCUCCACCUCUGAAGAAGCACAAUACACCUUUCUGGGUUACCAAUGGGAUACUUCCCAACAGCUUUGUCAUCACAUACAAUAUUCUCAAACAAGAUCUUAAUGGCAUCUACUUUCUCCAGGAACACAGCCCCUGACCUGUGUGUGUUUGCGUAGAGAAGGCAUGCUAUGUACCCCCUAGGAUAUCAAGAUUCCUGUAGCAGAUUGAGCUCUGGCAGUUGAUCUCAGUGGCUUGAUAGAGUGUCAUUAUAAAAACGCACCUGGAAGAUUCUGUGGAAAAGACAACCUCAGAAGACCAAGAGGCUGACUUUGCAAGAGAGAGUCCGUUUACCACUUAGAACCGUGAACACCACCCCCGCCCUCAUUUAUCUCCAGACUUGAACUAGUGGUUAAAUCCCAACAUGUCCCAGAGAAGUCAAAAGCAUUGUAAAAUCUGGGAAUCUGCCCACCACUCAAGCCUGGGAAAGCUGGCAGAGGAUGCACGUGUUUUACUCACCUGAGUGUUUACAAUGCUCGUGAGGUGCCUCCCUGAUAGUAAUGAUAGCAUCUCACAGUUCAGUUUAAGGAAGCAAUACAGAGACAUGCAAAUCAUCCCUAAGACAUGAGUACUCCAUGUGAGGGUGUUGUGAGGGCCUAAGAAGAAAGACAAUCAUUUGGGACAACGUUCUGAGAAGGGAGAUGGUUGCUGCCCUCGUGGAUUUAACAGACUUGGUUAUGUGGCUAGUUUUCUUUUUCUUCUUCCAUACCUGAACUGUGGUACUCAAGAGAAUCAUCUGAAGCUUGUGUUGGACAGGACAGGCAAUAACUUCAAACUGAAUAAUGAGGCCCAAGAUGGACAGUCCCUCGUUGAGGGUCAGAGCCAGCACCCUUGUAGACUGUGACUACUAGGCCAACUCCUAGAGCUAGAGUUCCAUAUGGACAAGGACAAGCUCUAGCUAGAUCAGAGCAAUUUCAUCACAAAGCAAGUUUUAUUUUCAAUCAUCGCUGCAGACCACAAAGGUCAGGCUAAAUAUCGACAGAUCUCUAUUGUGGGAAAAUUUGGACUUUUGGCUUAUUAUCAGUACUCAACCUUGAUAGGCAGCACCAGAUUAACUGCUAAAGAUUCUAUGCAUCUUUAUCUCA